rnacentral:rRNA from 1 species
AUUCCUACGGGGGGCAGCAGUAGGGAAUUUUCGUCAAUGGGCGCAAGCCUGAACGAGCGAUGCCGCGUGAGUGAGGAAGGCCUUCGGGUCGUAAAGCUCUGUUGCGGGGGAAAAAAGGCAGCAUCAGGAAAUGGGUGCUGACUGAUGGUGCCCCGCCAGAAGGUCACGGCUAACUACGUGCCAGCAGCCGCGGUAAUACGUAGGUGGCGAGCGUUAUCCGGAAUGAUUGGGCGUAAGGGGUGCGCAGGCGGUCCUGCAUGUCUGGAGUGAAACGCAUGGGCUCACCUCAUGCA